GGGGCGGGCCCAGAGCGCAAGGCAGUCGUCUGGUUUUGAGGGCCGCGUCCACACGCCGCCGUUCCACGAGGCGGGUUGGUCCAGCGCCAUCGAAGAUGUGAUGACAACUGGUCCUUGAGGCCCGAGUGUGGUCCCAAGGUGUCCGGCUGCCGGCCGUUUGGAGUCUCAGAGAGGAGUGACGUGGCUUUCCCAAGACGGCACCCCAGCUGUCAUGGCUCACUAAGAGCCUGACCCUUGGCAGCCCUCCCUGAAACGGACUUUGGUUUGGAAUAUUGGGACGGUCGCUUUGUAAUGGCACCGUGAGCACCAGAGUGAGGCAUGGAGGGCAAGGGACCGCACCACAAAAUGUCAGUGUCCCGCCUGUGCAGGGCGUCCCGGGCCCAAGUUCUGGCGCGACAAAUCAGUUUACACGAGGAUGGGCCCACGCCACUUCUCUCUGGGGCUGCCUGGUGACACCGCUCAGGAAGGACGCUCCCACUGGAAAGCCAGCGUGGUGUCUUACACAUUCCUUCACCAACUCUGGGCUGCUGGGGGUGUAGCAAAUACCACAGGACCAUCAUUGCUUCCUUGCCUGCUGAGUCAAAACUGUAUUGCAAGAGGGCUUCUUGGAAUGCUUAACUUUUUUUUCUUAAUGACAGUUACUAGGUAUAGAUCUUCCAAGUAAAUGAGUCUUGGUGCUGGAAUACACCUGAGCCUUUGAUGUGGCUCUUCUUACAAAUGAGCAACCCCCUCGACACCCACAAAGUAACAAGGCUGAGGGCCUUCCACACACAUCUUGUUAGUGGCAGAUCCAAAUCAUCUGCCCAUCUUUGGAUUAACACGAUUGCCCUUGUGUUUGAUAUUUCCCGAGCCCUGUGAUGCCCAGGAGUUGGAGUUUAAUGGAGAACCAUGUUGUCGAGCAUUUUACGCCCAUCUUGAAGUUUUGAAGGAAGAUAAGCACCAAGAAAAGAAAAUAAAUAAAAUCCAAUAUGA